rnacentral:rRNA from 1 species
UGUUUCGGCUAGGGGGCCAUCCCGGCUUACCAACCCGAUGCAAACUGCGAAUACCGGAGAAUGUUAUCACGGGAGACACACGGCGGGUGCUAACGUCCGUCGUGAAGAGGGAAACAACCCAGACCGCCAGCUAAGGUCCCAAAGUCAUGGUUAAGUGGGAAACGAUGUGGGAAGGCCCAGACAGCCAGGAUGUUGGCUUAGAAGCAGCCAUCAUUUAAAGAAAGCGUAAUAGCUCACUGGUCGAGUCGGCCUGCGCGGAAGAUGUAACGGGGCUAAACCAUGCACCGAAGCUGCGGCAGCGACACUCAGGUGUUGUUGGGUAGGGGAGCGUUCUGUAAGCCUGUGAAGGUGUGUCGUGAGGCAUGCUGGAGGUAUCAGAAGUGCGAAUGCUGACAUAAGUAACGAUAAAGCGGGUGAAAAGCCCGCUCGCCGGAAGACCAAGGGUUCCUGUCCAACGUUAAUCGGGGCAGGGUGAGUCGACCCCUAAGGCGAGGCCGAAAGGCGUAGUCGAUGGGAAACGGGUUAAUAUUCCCGUACUUGGUGUUACUGCGAAGGGGGGACGGAGAAGGCUAUGUUGGCCGGGCGACGGUUGUCCCGGUUUAAGCGUGUAGGUGUGUGUUCCAGGUAAAUCCGGUUCACUUUAACACUGAGGCGUGAUGACGAGGCACUAC